rnacentral:snoRNA from 1 species
CCUCUAGAUGAGGAAGAUUUAGUUGCUUAUAUCCUGAAUGGGUUAGAUGAAGAUUUUGAACCCGUUGUAUCUGCUAUUGUGGCACGUAAUGAAUCGGUCACAAUGGCGGAAGUCUACUCUCAACUCCUUAAUUUUGAGA